rnacentral:rRNA from 1 species
UACAGGGGGGGCAAGCGUUGUUCGGAAUUACUGGGCGUAAAGGGUUCGUAGGUGGCCACUUAAGUCAGACGUGAAAUCCCUCAGCUUAACUGGGGAACUGCGUCUGAUACUGGAUGGCUUGAGUGCAGGAGAGGAAUGCGGAAUUCCAGGUGUAGCGGUGAAAUGCGUAGAUAUCUGGAGGAAUACCGGUGGCGAAGGCGGCAUCCUGGACCGGUAUUGACGCUGAGGCGCGAAAGCCAGGGGAGCAAACGGG